rnacentral:tRNA from 1 species
UCCCUGGUGGCUCAGAGGUUAAAGCGUCUGCCUGCAAGGCAGGAGACCCAGGUUCAAUUCCUGGGUUGGGAA